GUGGGUGUAGCUCAGCCGGUAGAGCAUCGGCUUGUGGUGCCGAGGGUCGCGGGUUCAAGUCCCGUCACUCACC
rnacentral:tRNA from 1 species